ACUUCAACUGUCGGAACUUAAACAGUGUGACACCCAGCGGAAGUAAACAACAGCAGCGCCCCGUAGCGUUAGCUGCGUGCUGUUGUUGAAUGAGCUGGAAGAGACGGUAUAAAGUUGCACAGGAUAGGUGUAACGUGUAAUGUGAUUUCUCUGCAGUCCCUCCGUUCACCACGUGGAAAGACCCGAGGCGGUGGCGGCUGAAGCUGUGGGCGCCGAGCCACGUGCGUCCUGAGGACGAAUCUGUAGACUGCUGACAACCGGGAGACACGACGGCACCUCCAGGACCAACUGUCUGCGUCAUCGGAGGACAAACGCUACUUUGUCAGCGAGAUGGACGACAUCUCCAACCUGGAGACCAGCGUCCUGGAGAGUCCCCGAGACACGCAGCUGUGCAUCAAACUCGCCUUCAAGUACCUC